rnacentral:pre_miRNA from 1 species
UUCCUUGUGUUAAGGUGCAUCUAGUGCAGUUAGUGAAGUAGCUUAGAAUCUACUGCCCUAAAUGCUCCUUCUGGCACAAGCU